rnacentral:misc_RNA from 1 species
AACGCACCUUGCGCCCCUUGGUAUUCCGAGGGGCACACCCGUUUGAGUGUCGUGAAAACCUCAACCUCCUUGGUUUCUUCUGGAGACCAAAGAAGGCUUGGACUUUGGAGGCCUUUGCUGGCACCUCUCUUUUGAAGGCCAGCUCCUCUUAAACAAAUUAGCAGGGUCCUCUUUGCUGAUCCUUGACAUGUGAUAAGAUGUUUCCAUGUCUUGGUUUCUGGCUCUGUCACCUUUGGGACCCGCUUCUAACCGUCUUGACCUUGCGUCGAGACAACGUUCGAACAUGUCUCCCUUUCUCGGGAAGCUCCCUCGACCCCACGAACCCCUUGACCUCAAAUCGGGUGAGACUACCCGCUGAACUUAA